CGGUUGAUCCUGCCGGAGGCCCGCUGCUAUCCGGCUGGGACUAAGCCAUGCUAGUCUAGGGGCUUGUACCCCUUCGGGGGUGCAAGCACCGGCGGACGGCUCAGUAACACGUGGACAACCUGCCCUCGGGUGGGGGAUAACCCCGGGAAACUGGGGCUAAUCCCCCAUAGGUGAUGGGUGCUGGAAUGCCCCAUCUCCGAAAGCGCUUAGCGCCCGAGGAUGGGUCUGCGGCGGAUUAGGUAGUUGGUGGGGUAACGGCCCACCAAGCCUAAGAUCCGUACGGGCUGUGGGAGCAGGAGCCCGGAGAUGGACCCUGAGACAAGGGUCCAGGCCCUACGGGGCGCAGCAGGCGCGAAACCUCCGCAAUGCGGGAAACCGCGACGGGGUUAGCCGGAGUGCCCGUGCAUUGCACGGGCUGUCGGGGUGCCUAAACAGCACCCCAUAGCAAGGGCCGGGCAAGGCCGGUGGCAGCCGCCGCGGUAAGACCGGCGGCCCGAGUGGCGGCCACUCUUAUUGGGCCUAAAGCGUCCGUAGCCGGCCCAGUAAGUCCCCCGGGAAAUCUGGUCGCUUAACGAUCAGACUUCCGGGGGGUACUGCUGGGCUAGGGACCGGGAGAGGCCGAGGGUAUUCCCGGGGUAGGGGUGAAAUCCUGUAAUCCCGGGAGGACCACCUGUGGCGAAGGCGCUCGGCUGGAACGGGUCCGACGGUGGGGGACGAAGGCCUGGGGAGCGAACCGGAUUAGAUACCCGGGUAGUCCAGGCUGUAAACGAUGCGGGCUAGGUGUCACCGGAGCUACGAGCUCCGGUGGUGCCGGAGGGAAGCCGUUAAGCCCGCCGCCUGGGAAGUACGGCCGCAAGGCUGAAACUUAAAGGAAUUGGCGGGGGAGCC
rnacentral:rRNA from 1 species